rnacentral:lncRNA from 1 species
GAAAUAGAGCCAUUGUCUUAACCAAACAUUUCUCAUAGCUGCCUGUCGCCAGGCUGCACCUUGCAGACAGGUAAACAAAUAAUGAAACCCAAUGUAGCACUUGCUGUAAUAGACAUAGUGUGAGAGAUUAUGGGAGCACAGUGCAGAGUUUAUGCUUGGGCCCUCCACAAAUAUUUGUAGAUUGAUUGUUGAAUGAAGCCUCUGCACCUGGGAAACAAACUGGAGGGAGCCUCUGCCUUGCCUGGAAGAUUCAGGAAGUCUUCUGGAGCAAUUGAGAUUGAGUGGGUCUUAGGGUGAAGAAAAAAAGAGAAUUACACAGAGGGAGGUCUACACGCAGGCAGAGAGGUAAGAAUGGGUAUGUGUAUUUGGAAAAGGCCAAAAGACUGAGGUGGCUAGGGGAGAGGAUAAAUGAGGCUGAGGAGAAGUAGGAGAGAGCUAAAGAAGCAGGCAUCAAAGGCCUCAAGUGACUUGCUAUGGAGUGUGAAUAUCAGCUCACAGGAAACAGAGUCAAGUGAAGACAGUAAGAUCAAUGACACGGCAGGAGAUUCUGGAUGGAUAAGCAUGCAUCAAGGCCUGCUCUGCAGACACCACCAAACUCACACUGCUUGCU